rnacentral:rRNA from 1 species
UACAGAGACUGCAAGCGUUAUUCGGAUUCACUGGGCGUAAAGGGUGCGCAGGCGGCCAAGUGUGUUAGGCGUGAAAGCCCGGGGCUUAACCCCGGAAUUGCACCUAAAACUACAUGGCUAGAGCAUUGGAGAGGGUAGCGGAAUUCACGGUGUAGCAGUGAAAUGCGUAGAUAUCGUGAGGAACACCAGAGGCGAAGGCGGCUACCUGGACAAUUGCUGACGCUCAUGCACGAAAGCGUGGGGAGCAAACAGG